ensembl:lncRNA
AUCGCAAUGGGGAACGUCUGGCUAUCGUUAUGGCCUUUUGGAAAAAAGGUCUACCUAAUUUGGACUGCCUUGGUCUGAAUUUUAAUAAUGAUCAUGGAACCAUUAAUGGAAUAGCAGAUGUUUCUGAAGUUACAGAAAGGAAGAAUGGGUGUAAGCAUUUCAACCACAUCACCUUGAAUCUAAAAAGGGCCGGUGAAGAAAACCUUCUGCCAUAUGAGUACACUGAUUAUACAGCAACCGUUCCAUUUAUUUCUGAGGCUUCAAUAGUGAGAAGCUAUUGGCUGUUUUUGCAGUGUGUUUUUUCUGAACUCUUUCCAUUUCAGGUUUUCGGUGUCUGUUGAAGAUUUGUUGACAAUCCCCUCGACAAGUCAAAGUAAAUGUACCUAUAGGUUGGGUCACGAAAGCAAGCAAGGACCGUUGUGGACCAGCUGACUUGACUGUUAAAUAGAAAAAUGUGAAUCAGACUUGACUGUUAAAUACAUGUAUUGGAACAGACACUGACUACUCUGGUUAAUGCAGCUUUGUCCAGUUAUUUACUUUAACUGUGAUUUAUCACAUCAAAUGUGAGGUUGACAAUUGUAAUGCUGUUGAAGCAUUACUUGAACUGUGCAGUAGAAAGAUGCGUACAUGGGAACUCUCCCUAACUACUUACACAAAUGUUUUGGGCAUGUUUAAGUGUACUGUAAAUUAGGCAAUAAAAGUACUCAACUAUU